rnacentral:rRNA from 1 species
ACGAACGCUGGCGGCACGCUUAACACAUGCAAGUCGAACGAGAGAAGAGGAGCUUGCUUUUCUGAUCUAGUGGCGGACGGGUGAGUAACACGUGAGCAAUCUGCCUUUCAGAGGGGGAUACCGAUUGGAAACGAUCGUUAAUACCGCAUAACAUAAUUGAACCGCAUGAUUUGAUUAUCAAAGAUUUAUCGCUGAAAGAUGAGCUCGCGUCUGAUUAGCUAGUUGGUAAGGUAACGGCUUACCAAGGCGACGAUCAGUAGCCGGACUGAGAGGUUGAUCGGCCACAUUGGGACUGAGACACGGCCCAGACUCCUACGGGAGGCAGCAGUGGGGAAUAUUGCACAAUGGAGGAAACUCUGAUGCAGCGAUGCCGCGUGAGGGAAGAAGGUUUUAGGAUUGUAAACCUCUGUCUUCAGGGACGAAAAAAGACGGUACCUAAGGAGGAAGCUCCGGCUAACUACGUGCCAGCAGCCGCGGUAAUACGUAGGGAGCGAGCGUUGUCCGGAAUUACUGGGUGUAAAGGGAGCGUAGGCGGGAUCGCAAGUCAGAUGUGAAAACUAUGGGCUUAACCCAUAAACUGCAUUUGAAACUGUGGUUCUUGAGUGAAGUAGAGGUAAGCGGAAUUCCUAGUGUAGCGGUGAAAUGCGUAGAUAUUAGGAGGAACAUCAGUGGCGAAGGCGGCUUACUGGGCUUUAACUGACGCUGAGGCUCGAAAGCGUGGGGAGCAAACAGGAUUAGAUACCCUGGUAGUCCACGCCGUAAACGAUGAUUACUAGGUGUGGGGGGACUGACCCCUUCCGUGCCGCAGCAAACGCAAUAAGUAAUCCACCUGGGGAGUACGACCGCAAGGUUGAAACUCAAAGGAAUUGACGGGGGCCCGCACAAGCAGUGGAGUAUGUGGAUUAAUUCGAAGCAACGCGAAGAACCUUACCAGGUCUUGACAUCGUAUGCAUAGCUCAGAGAUGAGUGAAAUCUCUUCGGAGACAUAUAGACAGGUGGUGCAUGGUUGUCGUCAGCUCGUGUCGUGAGAUGUUGGGUUAAGUCCCGCAACGAGCGCAACCCUUACUGUUAGUUGCUACGCAAGAGCACUCUAGCAGGACUGCCGUUGACAAAACGGAGGAAGGUGGGGAUGACGUCAAAUCAUCAUGCCCCUUAUGACCUGGGCCUCACACGUACUACAAUGGCUGUCAACAGAGGGAAGCAAAGCCGCGAGGUGGAGCAAACCCCUAAAAGCAGUCUUAGUUCGGAUUGUAGGCUGCAACCCGCCUACAUGAAGUCGGAAUUGCUAGUAAUCGCAGAUCAGCAUGCUGCGGUGAAUACGUUCCCGGGCCUUGUACACACCGCCCGUCACGCCAUGGGAGUCGGUAACACCCGAAGCCUGUAGUCUAACCGCAAGGAGGACGCAGUCGAAGGUGGGAUUGAUGACUGGGGUG